rnacentral:lncRNA from 1 species
AUGGAAAUGAAAGCAACAUUGGAGUCUUAAGGGGGAGGCCGAAUUACAUGUUUGCACCCUCGACAGGGUUCUCACUAUAAACAAGAAUAUGGUGUCCAUCUCUAAGGAAAUGAAGAAGGAACACCAGAGGGUUUUCACUCCAUCAGCCAUUGAACCAUCUUUUGGUAUUGGGAGGAUAAUAUACUGCCUCUAUGAGCAUUCUUUCAACACAAGACCUAGCAGAAUAUGGUGUCCAUCUCUAAGGAAAUGAAGAAGGAACACCAGAGGGUUUUCACUCUUUCAGCCAUUGAACCAUCUUUUGGUACUGGGAGGAUAAUAUACUGCCUCUAUGAGCAUUCUUUCAACACAAGACCUAGCAGAGAUGGUGAUGAACAAAUGAAUUUUUUCAGCUUCCCUCCUAUUGUAGCUCCUAUAAAAUGCACUGUGUUCCCAUUGGUUCAGAAUCAACAAUAUGAGGAAGUUGCCAGACAAAUUACUAGGUCGCUGACUGCCUAUGGGAUCUCGUAUAAGAUCGAUAUAACAGGUAAGCUCGGCCUCGAGAGUUAUUCUAAGCACUAGCUUUGACUAGGUCGCUGACUGCCUAUGGAAUCUCGUAUAAGAUCGAUAUAACAGGUAAGCUCGGCCUCGAGAGUUAUUCUAAGCACUAGCUUUGGCCACAAUAAUGUUAAGUUCUGAGUAAGUCACAAUUUCUCUCUCUAAUUCCCCUUAAAAGCUACCUGGAUCAAGGGUGUUUUAAUAUUUAUUUCCAUCCCUUCUAUAAUCAUUUCAUCUCACCUGUCUACUCAUUUUACCACUUCUGGAGUAAAUAAGUUGAGCUUUAAGCUGGUUGCUAAUUAUUUUCUUAUCCUUUCUCUCUGGACAGUGAUAGGAAAUAUUGAGAUGUCAACAUUACUUAAAAAUCCUAAGAAAAUGUGCUUUCUACUUUGUCCUAUAAUGAACAUACAUGGGUUAAUCAAAUUCCAACAUUGGUUGCAAAUUGGGUUUAAAGUUUACCGUGGAAUUGCAGCCAAGGGUGUGACUAGUAGUCGAUGAAGGGGGAAUUAGAGAUUAGGCUUUGAAUCCCACCGUAGGCAAAAAAGGUUGGUGAUUUUUCUCAUCUGCCUAAGCAUUAGUGAAUAGAGUUACUCAAUACUUUUGGUGAUUGUGGUCUGGCCCUUCCCUAAACCCCGCACAUAGCUGGAGCUUAGUGCACCGGGCUGCCCUUUAAUACUUUUAGUGGUGGGAGAUACAAAUAACCGGUGGAAUAGUCAAGGCGCACGAGCUGGCCUGGAACACCACUAGUAUAAGAGAGAAGGGAGAAAAUUCACUGGGGAAUUAUUGAGUUCACUAUAUGAAUUUUAAACAAAUAUUAAGUUAUUGACAUGAUGUAUUGUUCGAUUGUUCAUUAAGGUCCACCUGUCCAGGUUAAUAUUUUUCAUCUAUCAAAUUUGUUUGCUCUACUCUCUAAAUGUGACAGAUUGUAACUUAUUUUAGCUCAUUGCUAUGAACUUUAAAGUCUGGCUAAGGUUGGUGUGUACACUCCUGACAACUACUGGGUUCACAUGGUCUAAAUGCAGAAAUUUGAGUUUGCUUCAUCUUCCUUUUGCUUUACCAUGCAUGAGGACUCCAAUUUAUCCAUAUGCUUGUAUCCCAUGCGGUACUGAUCUCUAUAGGAUAUAUAGAUUUACCAUAACCUAAACAUGUCUGCAUCUAUACACUGUUAUCAUAUAGUAUGCUAAAGUUUACCUUGUAUACCACUAGAUUUGACUGAUGUAAUAUCUGGUGGGCAUAUCAUCAGCAUCCAUAUAACAAUGAUUACCUGUCUUUGUCAUUGUGCUACAAUAUGUUUGUGUAUAUAUAUAUAUAUAUAUACAUAUAUAUAAUGCUUUCUUGACUUUCACACUAAUAUAUUUCUUCUAUAUAAUGUUGUGAUUUGCAUGCUUGCUUGAAGUCGAGGGUCUACCGGAACAGCCCCUCUCUCUAUAUAUAUAUUUAUAUAUAUUUAAUGCUUUUUGACCUUUACACUACUGUAUUUCUUCUCUAUAAUGUUGUGAUUUGCAUGCUUGCUUGAAGUCGAGGGUAUACCGGAACGUCUCUAUCUGCAUAAGGUAUGGGUACAACUGCGUAUAUAAUACCCUCCCUAGACCCCCUAUUUGCAGGAUACUGGGUUUGUUGUUGUUGUUGUUGUAUGUUUAUUUUGUUUUUGGUUUUGAUGAACUGGUGGUGCUUAAACUAUUUGAUACUUAGUUGUGGUCCUUGUGAUUUUGUGUUCUAGGUACGUCAAUAGGUAAAAGGUAAGAACAGAUGAACUUGGAGUUCCCUUUGCCAUUACAGUGGAUUCAACAUCCUCUGUGACAAUCCGUGAAAGGGACAGCAAGCAGCAGAUUCGCGUGAAUGUGGACGAAGUAGCAUCUGUUAUUAAGGAGGUAACCGAUGGUCCAAGCACUUGGGGUGAUGUGUUGUGGAAAUACCCUACUCAUUCUUCUUGACCCCCGUUGAGAAUGUUUACUUAAUAGCCUGAAUUGUUUAUGCGACAUUGACAAAUUUCUUUGAUGUACCAAUUUGGAUGUACUAUUCUAAUUUGCAUUGAAGCAAUCAGUAAAUACUUAUCCAAUUAGAUUACUUGUACCUACUACGGUGUCUAUUCUCAUUAUCUUCUUGUGUCUUUGUCCAUUACUAAGCUAUCUCUGUUUCCUAGGUGAAUAUUUACAUGACAAUAGUAGACAUCAAGAUUACCAAACCAAUUAUGUCACAAAUUCUAAACUGAAGCAGUUACAAAAUUUGCAGAACUGAAUUGAGGGACCACCCAUGUUAUGCAGAUAUUUUCAUCUCUAAGCCGAAAAGAUUACAUUACCAGUAGAACAAAGUAGGAUGUAGAUAUAGGGACAAAGUCAGAAAAGAGUAAACUGAGUACUCUACUCUCAACUUAGAAAUGAGGGAGGUGAUCACCAACACCAACAGAAACUGAGCUAGAAGCAGCAGCAGCAUUGCUCCGUUCAGAGUGGCAAAGCUGGCGGAGCUUGGUGGGAACAUACCAAAUGGCGAGUCGAGGAUGUGCAUUAAAGAUGGUGUCGAUAUCCCAGCCUUGUCGAGCAGCUAUGGCCACAAGGGGCUUGUAACAUGCCUGUCUCCACGCUCCGACAUUCUCUCCUCGUUCCUUGAAAGCUCUUCUUAGCGCAUUGGAGGCUUCCUCGUCAAGGCAAUGAAGUGCGUAGCAAUGCACGUAGUGUCGCAUUUUUGGCUUGUUUAUGUAGCUUGCCCCUGCCUUCUUCGCGUACCUGAACACCUGAUUUGUUACCUGCAAUUUUAAAACAAUCGAUCGUUCAAUGCCUCUCCAUUUUCAUUCGACGGGAUAACAUUACUGUAAGAUGAUUAUUUUUUGCUCCUUAACUAUUUCUGAUCAUUCAACGCCGGUCCAGUUUCAUUCGACGGGAUAACAUUACUGUAAGAUGAUUUUUCUUUGCACCUUAACUAUUCCAAAAGCCAAAAUACGUUAGUUUGAUAAUUGCUUUUCGUAAUUUUAAUUGCCAAAAGCUAACUUCAUAUUGUUGAUU